CGGCAGCACAGAGGAGCUUGCUCCUUGGGUGGCGAGUGGCGGACGGGUGAGGAAUACAUCGGAAUCUACUCUGUCGUGGGGGAUAACGUAGGGAAACUUACGCUAAUACCGCAUACGACCUACGGGUGAAAGCAGGGGAUCUUCGGACCUUGCGCGAUUGAAUGAGCCGAUGUCGGAUUAGCUAGUUGGCGGGGUAAAGGCCCACCAAGGCGACGAUCCGUAGCUGGUCUGAGAGGAUGAUCAGCCACACCGGAACUGAGACACGGUCCAGACUCCUACGGGAGGCAGCAGUGGGGAAUAUUGGACAAUGGGCGCAAGCCUGAUCCAGCCAUACCGCGUGGGUGAAGAAGGCCUUCGGGUUGUAAAGCCCUUUUGUUGGGAAAGAAAUCCAGCUGGUUAAUACCCGGUUGGGAUGACGGUACCCAAAGAAUAAGCACCGGCUAACUUCGUGCCAGCAGCCGCGGUAAUACGAAGGGUGCAAGCGUUACUCGGAAUUACUGGGCGUAAAGCGUGCGUAGGUGGUCGUUUAAGUCCGUUGUGAAAGCCCUGGGCUCAACCUGGGAACUGCAGUGGAUACUGGACGACUAGAGUGUGGUAGAGGGUAGCGGAAUUCCUGGCGUAGCAGUGAAAUGCGUAGAGAUCGGGAGGAACAUCCAUGGCGAAGGCAGCUACCUGGACCAACACUGACACUGAGGCACGAAAGCGUGGGGAGCAAACAGGAUUAGAUACCCUGGUAGUCCACGCCCUAAACGAUGCGAACUGGAUGUUGGGUGCAAUUUGGCACGCAGUAUCGAAGCUAACGCGUUAAGUUCGCCGCCUGGGGAGUACGGUCGCAAGACUGAAACUCAAAGGAAUUGACGGGGGCCCGCACAAGCGGUGGAGUAUGUGGUUUAAUUCGAU
rnacentral:rRNA from 1 species